CAGUGCCCAAGAAUAGCCUCUAGUCCAGGUCUCAGAGAUGGGGUCAGUUGCUCUCCUGCUGUGGGUACUGCUGCUCUGGGUUCCAGGCACCACUGGGGACAUUGUGCUGACCCAAUCUCCAUCUUCCUUGGCUGUGUCACUGGGGCAAAGGGCCACCAUCUCCUGCAAGGCCAGCCAGAGUGUCAGUAAAUUCUUUUUAAAUUCUAUGCACUGGUAUCAACAGAAACCAGGACAGCCCCCCAGACUCCUCAUCUAUGAAGCAUCCAAUACAGCAUCUGGGAUCCCUGCCAGGUUCAGUGGCAGUGGGUCUGGGACAGACUUCACCCUCACCAUCCAUCCUGUGGAGGCUGAUGAUGCUGCAAUCUAUCACUGUCAGCAGGCUAUUGAGUUUCCUCCCACAGUGCUCCAGGGCUAAACAAAAACCUAGGGGAUAGCUGCUCACUAAGGCUCAGUCUCUCAGCUUUCUCUUUCCCCAGUACAUCUCAGCCAUAGAAACUAGAUGUUUUGAUUCCAUGAAAGGAAGGUGUGAAAUAGAAAUGUUUUAAACUGUUAGGUGUGUUUGUCCUACUCUGUGUACUUUAAUGUAACAAUUUGUUUGCUAAUAAAGACCUCUCAGUUACUAUUUCAAA